rnacentral:lncRNA from 1 species
CUCCAUGUUCCAUCACAUCACAUUAAAUUUCUAAUGGAACAGACACUUCUACCUUUUAUUUCACUAUCAGUCGACUUGCUUUUACCCCUGUGGCCUGCUCGCCCUUUUAUUCCCACGCUGGAAUCUAUCAAUUAUUGAAAAAGCCUCGGAUAAAAAAGCAAGAAAAGUAUGUCAAGUUAAAUAAUUGAGACGGUCCUAGAAAACCAGAAAAAAAAUCAAAAAGCCUGUCCAUCUCACUUCCCUCACUUCAUAACAAAAACCACGGUAUAUAGAGAACUAGGUAAAACCGGUUUGCCGCCACAACACUAAGGUAUUUUAACCACUAUUUUCAGCUGGCCUUCUCAGUCCAAAAAAAGAAACUAGGCCACGUAUCUUUAUGUGUUUUAUUAUUUUUAUAUAAAUUGGCAAUAAAAUUGCACAGGGCAAGACUAGCGUAACUCUGUAAAGUAUUUGCGAAGAUAAUUUUUUGACCGACCACGCCAUUUCGAAAAUAAUAUAUCUUUGGUUGUAGGAGUUUGUUAUUGAUUAAAUCAAAUUUUCAUCCUUAAAAAUUUAAAUUAAUAGUAAAAAAGUAUUAUCAAAUGCCAAUACUGUUUCUUUCAAUUUCGAAACCACCAAGCUCAGCAAAUGGCGGGCCCACCUGACCAGCCAACGUUUUACCACAAAUUCUCGAAUAAAAUCAGUUAUAUUUUCAGAGGCUACAAUGCCACCAGGAAGACCAAGACAAGACAGUGCUCAUGCCCGAAUCAUCGGCAACACAGGAUGGCAAACUUCGCCUCCCCUGGCUUGUAUGAAGCCUUGAUUUCCAUUUAAGGAAGUAAGUCUGUGCCCAAAUGGAUGAUGCACGUGUUGGGCAUUUUUGCAAAACAAAGCAGUUGAAAGGGUUCAUUUGCCGAGGCUGUAUGGAGUACGCCAAGCAAUGUCAUGCUGAUGGGGAGACGUGAGUAUGACAAUGAAACAUACUACAAUUCUUGGCAAAAGGGCUAGCAAAAUGCAUCAUUGAGUUUGACAAUUCUGUACCAGUCAUUGUCAAGCUGGAAAUCUGGGUAACGGUAAUUGGUAAAGCUGGGGUCACCGUCAGCAUAUCAAUAUAGGUAUCAGUCGGGCAAACUGCAGGGAGGUAAUCUAAAAUAAGAUUUAUCUAAUUUAAGAAUAUGAUGUCACCCAAAUGUGCUGAGUGAUGACCAUAUAAGGAAUGAUGAUCAAUAUUUAGACUAUAUUCCCGACAUGUCCACAUUUGAACCCUCCACAACCAUCGAAGAACUGCUCAUAACCACAAUAUUUGUUUUGCUGACUGACAGGCAAACCAUGAUUUAACAAAUUGUGAACUGGCCAGCUCAUUUGAGAUUGGAAUUUGUCACUGGUGACCAAGAUAUUUGGGCAUUAGUAGAGCAGAUGUUACACAGAGGUUUUACAACUGAGGAGAAGUGCUCAUAUGCUUCUUGCUUCCAGAGAUGCUUCUUUUUAACACCAAACCAAACCUUACCUGACAUAAUCUAACCUACAAGUCAGCAUACAAACUAAAACCCUACAACCUACAAACCUACAGCUGUGCCUCUCCUUGGUUGGAAACCCUUCCUAUGAGCAUCCUGCUCUCUUUGCCUAUUUAUCUACUUGGUAAGCAUAAGCGCCUUUAUUUGACAUCUGCUCUACUAGUGCCGUUAAUUUUAAUUUGUAACCUAACCAAACCUAACCUAACCCAAACCCUGCUCAUAACUGUGAUAAGUUGCAGUCCUAACUCCUAACAUCACUUUGAUUCUCCUCAGCCAAUUACAUCAAGAGGGAGACCACACUGACAGGGGUCCAAGAUCCAACUCAGGCCCUACUACUGUCCGCCAGCGGACGGAGGCCCGGCGACGGACGCUGGCUCAGUGGCCAACAGUGGUCCGCCCGCCGGCUGAUGGUGGCUCGCCGACCGACGCCGGCCCGUCGGCUGACCACGGCAUUCCGGCUGAUGGUGGCCCGCCAGCCGACGGAGGUCCGCCGGCCAUUCGUGGCACGCCCGCCGACGGUAGCUCGACACGUCCUGGCUAUGUCACCCCCAAGAUUACUUCGCCCCCCAGUCCCUAGGUCACCAGUUGCGGGCGCUCCAUCUGACGGUGUCGUCCGACGGCUCCACGGUGACCAGCGCCGCCACUGCGGAAACCAUCCGACCCCGAAAAUGCUGCUAGCCGUACACGAACAAAGGGCGCCGGGCACCCAGGACCAGCGCCCUGCUCCGAGGCGGUGUCCAAAGAAGGCUGCACAGUGCACUUGCUGUGCUAAGGCAUAGUGCCCGCUGACUGAUAGGAACAAAUGACGGUCAGUUAUCAGAUUUCAGUAUGGAACUCAAGAUGGUCGGAGCCGACCUGGCUCGGUGGAUGGUGUGCCAGGGUUGAUUAAGUGUCGAAAGGAGUGAGAUGCCCAGAUAUGUGAAGGAUACGUCGAUACGAGCCCCGGCUUCGACUCCCCGUCCCAAAACGAUGUUGGUUGUGAUUGGAGGAUCCCCCACCCCCACCCCACCCACCCCGGAAUUUGUGCUAUGUAAUAGAACGAUAAUAUGUCGUGGUCUCAUUCUGGCUCGAUAUGGUAAUAGGUACUUAAUUGGACAGAUGUUGAUGGUAUUGGUGGUGGAUGUUAAUGGCAGGUUUGGCGAGCGCGAAUUAAUAAUCGUGAGUGCACUAGCUGCAAUCAGUCGCGCGCUUAUUGCUGAGCACCUGUGAGCAAGAAAAUUAUAUGAAUGUGGUAGUUCGUCGUGAAAUCUGUGUACUUUUGGAUUAAGUUGUCAGAACAUAAGUGUAUUUUUGCCGUGUCCACUGCAGCUCUGAAACAGAAACAUGGAGAUCGGCUGUGUGCUGUAGCUGCGGGGGCAAGUAGUCCGCGCGUGCCAAAAAAUCAAAGGUGGUAUGUGAAUUUAAGUGAAUAUACCUCGCUAUAUUUUCAA